rnacentral:rRNA from 2 species
AUACAUGCAGUCGACGAACUCUGGUAUUGAUUGGUGCUUGCAUCAUGAUUUACAUUUGAGUGAGUGGCGAACUGGUGAGUAACACGUGGGAAACCUGCCCAGAAGCGGGGGAUAACACCUGGAAACAGAUGCUAAUACCGCAUAACAACUUGGACCGCAUGGUCCGAGUUUGAAAGAUGGCUUCGGCUAUCACUUUUGGAUGGUCCCGCGGCGUAUUAGCUAGAUGGUGGGGUAACGGCUCACCAUGGCAAUGAUACGUAGCCGACCUGAGAGGGUAAUCGGCCACAUUGGGACUGAGACACGGCCCAAACUCCUACGGGAGGCAGCAGUAGGGAAUCUUCCACAAUGGACGAAAGUCUGAUGGAGCAACGCCGCGUGAGUGAAGAAGGGUUUCGGCUCGUAAAACUCUGUUGUUAAAGAAGAACAUAUCUGAGAGUAACUGUUCAGGUAUUGACGGUAUUUAACCAGAAAGCCACGGCUAACUACGUGCCAGCAGCCGCGGUAAUACGUAGGUGGCAAGCGUUGUCCGGAUUUAUUGGGCGUAAAGCGAGCGCAGGCGUUUUUUAAAGUCUGAUGUGAAAGCCUUCGGCUCAACCGAAGAAGUGCAUCGGAAACUGGGAAACUUGAGUGCAGAAGAGGACAGUGGAACUCCAUGUGUAGCGGUGAAAUGCGUAGAUAUAUGGAAGAACACCAGUGGCGAAGGCGGCUGUCUGGUCUGUAACUGACGCUGAGGCUCGAAAGUAUGGGUAGCAAACAGGAUUAGAUACCCUGGUAGUCCAUACCGUAAACGAUGAAUGCUAAGUGUUGGAGGGUUUCCGCCCUUCAGUGCUGCAGCUAACGCAUUAAGCAUUCCGCCUGGGGAGUACGGCCGCAAGGCUGAAACUCAAAGGAAUUGACGGGGGCCCGCACAAGCGGUGGAGCAUGUGGUUUAAUUCGAAGCUACGCGAAGAACCUUACCAGGUCUUGACAUACUAUGCAAAUCUAAGAGAUUAGACGUUCCCUUCGGGGACAUGGAUACAGGUGGUGCAUGGUUGUCGUCAGCUCGUGUCGUGAGAUGUUGGGUUAAGUCCCGCAACGAGCGCAACCCUUAUUAUCAGUUGCCAGCAUUAAGUUGGGCACUCUGGUGAGACUGCCGGUGACAAACCGGAGGAAGGUGGGGAUGACGUCAAAUCAUCAUGCCCCUUAUGACCUGGGCUACACACGUGCUACAAUGGAUGGUACAACGAGUUGCGAACUCGCGAGAGUAAGCUAAUCUCUUAAAGCCAUUCUCAGUUCGGAUUGUAGGCUGCAACUCGCCUACAUGAAGUCGGAAUCGCUAGUAAUCGCGGAUCAGCAUGCCGCGGUGAAUACGUUCCCGGGCCUUGUACACACCGCCCGUCACACCAUGAGAGUUUGUAACACCCAAAGUCGGUGGGGUAACCUUUUAGGAACCAGCCGCCUAAGGUGGGACAGAUGAUUAGGGUGAAGUCGUAACAA